GACAUGUUGGAGCAAGCACUUGAAUGAGAAAUGGAAUGUGGCUGAGCAAGAGAAAGGGGGUGCGCUAGUCUCGUCACAAGGUGGGGCCCAGAGGAUGCCAGGGUAUUAUGAAGGGAUUAUUCUAAGGUGGAGUCAUGCCCUGAAGUCUAAGCCUGGUGGCUUGGCUGAUGAGGAUGUUCCUGCACCUUUUGCUGAUUGAGUCCAUUAUGUGUUGGUGGGAAGGAG
rnacentral:lncRNA from 11 species